rnacentral:rRNA from 2 species
AUGGGCGCAAGCCUGAUGGAGCAACACCGCGUGAGUGAAGAAGGGUUUCGGCUCGUAAAACUCUGUUGUUGGAGAAGAACGUGCGUAAGAGUAACUGUUUACGCAGUGACGGUAUCCAACCAGAAAGUCACGGCUAACUACGUGCCAGCAGCCGCGGUAAUACGUAGGUGGCAAGCGUUAUCCGGAUUUAUUGGGCGUAAAGCGAGCGCAGGCGGUUGCUUAGGUCUGAUGUGAAAGCCUUCGGCUUAACCGAAGAAGUGCAUCGGAAACCGGGCGACUUGAGUGCAGAAGAGGACAGUGGAACUCCAUGUGUAGCGGUGGAAUGCGUAGAUAUAUGGAAGAACACCAGUGGCGAAGGCGGCUGUCAGGUCUGCAACUGACGCUGAGGCUCGAAAGCAUGGGUAGCGAACAGGAUUAGAUACCCUGGUAGUCCAUGCCGUAAACGAUGAGUGCUAGGUGUUGGAGGGUUUCCGCCCUUCAGUGCCGAAGCUAACGCAUUAAGCACUCCGCCUGGGGAGUACGACCGCAAGGUUGAAACUCAAAGGAAUUGACGGGGGCCCGCACAAGCGGUGGAGCAUGUGGUUUAAUUCGAAGCUACGCGAAGAACCUUACCAGGUCUUGA